AGGAUGAACGCUGGCGGUCUGCUUAACACAUGCAAGUCGAACGGAGUAGCAAUACUUAGUGGCGGACGGGUGAGUAACGCGUGAGAAUCUACCUUCAGGACGGAGACAACAGUUGGAAACGACUGCUAACCCCCGAUGUACUGAAAAGGCAAAUAUUUAUAGCCUGAAGAAGAGCUCGCGUCCGAUUAGCUAGUUGGAGAGGUAAAAGCUCACCAAGGCGACGAUCGGUAGCUGGUCUGAGAGGACGAUCAGCCACACUGGGACUGAGACACGGCCCAGACUCCUACGGGAGGCAGCAGUGGGAAUUUUCCGCAAUGGGCGAAAGCCUGACGGAGCAAGACCGCGUGGGGGAAGAAGGCUCUUGGGUUCGUAAACCCCUUUUCUCUGGGAAGAACACAAUGACGGUACCAGAGGAAUCAGCAUCGGCUAACUCCGCGCCAGCAGCCGC
rnacentral:rRNA from 1 species